GCAUGGAUGAAUUCUGUUCCAGCUGAUCUGUGGUGGAUACAGUCAGACACCAUGCUAAAGCAUCAUCUCAUUUCUUCUAAAUGUCUGGAUGAGUGUCACCCUCAUACUCACCCACUUCUAUAAGAAUGCGUACAGUG
ensembl:snoRNA small nucleolar RNA SNORA15